GGUCAAGCUACAAAGGGCGCAUGGUGAAUGCCUUGGCAUCAGGAGCCGAUGAAGGACGCGAUAAGCUGCGAUAAGCUUCGGGUAGACGCACAUAGUCAGAGAUCCGAAGAUUUCCGAAUGAGGAAACUCACAUGGGAAACCCCAUGUAUCAUAAAGUGAAUACAUAGCUUUAUGAAGGUAUACCCAGGGAACUGAAACAUCUAAGUACCUGGAGGAAGAGAAAGAAAAAUCGAUUUUCUUAGUAGCGGCGAGCGAAAAGGAAAGAGCCCAAACCAGAGAUUUAUCUCUGGGGUUGCGGACAGAACAUAACGAGAAAUCAUAGUUAAUUGAACACAACUGGAAAGUUGGACCACAGUGGGUAAUAGUCCCGUAAGUGAAAACUAUGAUAAUCAGUUCUGCACCAGAGUACCACGAGACACGUGAAACCUUGUGGGAAGCAGGGAGGACCACCUCCCAAGGCUAAAUACUACCUGAUGACCGAUAGUGAAGCAGUACCGUGAGGGAAAGGUGAAAAGAACCCCGGGAGGGGAGUGAAAUAGAACCUGAAACCAUGUGCCUACAACCGAUCAGAGCACCUUAUGUGUGUGAUGAUGUGCUUUUUGUAGAACGAGCCAACGAGUUACGGUAUGUAGCGAGGUUAAGUACUUAAGGUACGGAGCCGAAGGGAAACCGAGUCUUAAUAGGGCGACUAGUUGCAUGCUGUAGACCCGAAACCGGGUGACCUAUCCAUGGCCAGGUUGAAGCGAGGGUAAAACCUCGUGGAGGACCGAACCACGUUGCUGUUGAAAAAGCAUGGGAUGAGCUGUGGAUAGCGGAGAAAUUCCAAUCGAACUCGGAUAUAGCUGGUUCUCCUCGAAAUAGCUUUAGGGCUAGCGUCGGAAAAUGUGAGUAGUGGAGGUAGAGCACUGAAUAGGCUAGGGGGCAUAGCGCUUACCGAACCUUAUCAAACUCCGAAUGCCACAUACUAUCAGUCCGGCAGUCAGACUAUGAAAGAUAAGUUCCAUGGUCAAAAGGGAAACAGCCCAGAUCGUCAGCUAAGGUCCCAAAGUGUAAGUUAAGUGGAAAAGGAUGUGGGAUUUCUAAGACAACUAGGAUGUUGGCUUAGAAGCAGCCACUCAUUAAAAGAGUGCGUAAUAGCUCACUAGUCAAGAGAUCCUGCGCCGAAAAUGUCCGGGGCUCAAACUUACCACCGAAGCUACGGGUUCACGCUUAUGCGUGAGCGGUAGAGGAGCGUCGUAAUCGGGCUGAAGUCGUACCGUAAGGAGCGGUGGACUGAUUACGAGUGAGAAUGUUGGCAUUAGUAGCGAGAUGUAGGCGAGAAUCCUACAGGCCGAAUAUCUAAGGUUUCCUGAGUAAAGUUUGUCUUCUCAGGGUUAGUCGGGACCUAAGGCGAGGCCGAAAGGCGUAGUCGAUGGACAAUUGGUUGAUAUUCCAAUACCACUAUAAUCGUUAUUAUCGAUGGUGUGACGGAGAAGGAUAGGAUGUGCUAGCUAUUGGAUGCUAGUCUAAGCGUUUAGGGAGUUGGGAUUGGCAAAUCCGUUCCAACAAUUCUGAGGCGUGAUGGGGAAGGUUCUACGGAACCGAAGUAUCUGAUUCCAUGCUUCCAAGAAAAGCAUCUAGAGAGAGAAGUAGUGCCCGUACCGCAAACCGACACAGGUAGAUGAGGAGAGAAUCCUAAGGCCGACGGAAGAAUUGCAGUUAAGGAACUAGGCAAAUUGACCCCGUAACUUCGGGAGAAGGGGUGCCUGAGAAAUCAGGCCGCAGAGAAUAGGCACAAGCAACUGUUUAACAAAAACACAGGUCUCUGCUAAAGCGAAAGCUGAUGUAUAGGGGCUGACGCCUGCCCGGUGCUGGAAGGUUAAGGGGAACACUUAGUGGUAACGCGAAGGUGUGAACUUAAGCCCCAGUAAACGGCGGCCGUAACUAUAACGGUCCUAAGGUAGCGAAAUUCCUUGUCAGGUAAGUUCUGACCCGCACGAAUGGCGUAAUGACUUGUGCACUGUCUCAACUGCAAAUCCGGCGAAGUUGUAGUGCGAGUGAAGAUGCUCGCUACCCGCGAUUGGACGGAAAGACCCCGUAGAGCUUUACUGUAGCUUAGCAUUGAAUUUCGGUAUUGUCUGUACAGGAUAGGUGGGAGACUGGGAAACUAGGGCGUCAGCCUUGGUGGAGUCGUUGUUGGGAUACCACCCUGAUAGUAUUGAAGUUCUAACUGGAUGCCAUGAAACUGGUGACAGGACAUUGUUAGGUGGGCAGUUUGACUGGGGCGGUCGCCUCCUAAAAUGUAACGGAGGCGCCAAAGGUUCCCUCAGAACGGUCGGAAAUCGUUCGAAGAGUGUAAAGGCAGAAGGGAGCCUGACUGCGACACCUACAAGUGGAGCAGGGACGAAAGUCGGGCUUAGUGAUCCGGUGGUACCUCGUGGGAGGGCCAUCGCUCAAC
rnacentral:rRNA from 1 species